UACGUAGGGGGCAAGCGUUGUCCGGAUUCAUUGGGCGUAAAGAGCGUGUAGGCGGCCAGGUAGGUCGGUUGUGAAAACUGGAGGCUCAACCUUCAGAGGUCGACCGAAACCAUCUGGCUAGAGUCCGGGAGAGGAGAGUGGAAUUCCUGGUGUAGCGGUGAAAUGCGCAGAUAUCAGGAAGAACAUCGGUGGCGAAGGCGCUCUGCUGGACCAUAACUGACACUCAGGGACGAAAGCUAGGGGAGCGAAUGGG
rnacentral:rRNA from 1 species